rnacentral:rRNA from 1 species
UACGGAGGGUGCAAGCGUUGUCCGGAUUUAUUGGGUCUAAAGGGUGCGUAGGUGGGUUGGUAAGUCAGUGGUGAAAUCCCCGAGCUUAACUUGGGAACUGCCAUUGAUACUAUUAAUCUUGAAUACUGUGGAGGUCAGCAGAAUAUGUCAUGUAGCGGUGAAAUGCUUAGAUAUGACAUAGAAUACCAAUUGCGAAGGCAGCUGGCUACACAAAUAUUGACACUGAGGCACGAAAGCGUGGGGAUCAAACAGG